AACGCAUAUUGCGCUUGGUGCAAACCAAGCACGCCUGUUGGAGUGGCAGCCCCCUUCAACUCGCCCCGCCCACAUGCCCAGCGCUUCACUGCGCUGCAGCGGGCGGCAGGCAGCUGUCGCGAUGAGCAAGCCUCUACGAGGAUAGCCGUCGCCGAGCUGUCAACUAUUGUCGCCCUGUCACGGCAUUACGCAAGGGCAACCUUGCGUGGCUUCUGCCCUCCAAUCAGACGGGGCUACCCGCUGAAUUUAA
rnacentral:misc_RNA from 1 species